rnacentral:rRNA from 1 species
UCAGGACGAACGCUGGCGGCGUGCCUAAUACAUGCAAGUCGAGCGGACAGAAGGGAGCUUGCUCCCGGAUGUUAGCGGCGGACGGGUGAGUAACACGUGGGUAACCUGCCUGUAAGACUGGGAUAACUCCGGGAAACCGGAGCUAAUACCGGAUAGUUCCUUGAACCGCAUGGUUCAAGGAUGAAAGACGGUUUCGGCUGUCACUUACAGAUGGACCCGCGGCGCAUUAGCUAGUUGGUGGGGUAAUGGCUCACCAAGGCGACGAUGCGUAGCCGACCUGAGAGGGUGAUCGGCCACACUGGGACUGAGACACGGCCCAGACUCCUACGGGAGGCAGCAGUAGGGAAUCUUCCGCAAUGGACGAAAGUCUGACGGAGCAACGCCGCGUGAGUGAUGAAGGUUUUCGGAUCGUAAAGCUCUGUUGUUAGGGAAGAACAAGUGCGAGAGUAACU